AUUUGACAGAAGGCACGUAAGCGUUACUUUUAGCAUAAUUAUGCUUUUUUUAAUUGUUUUUAUUGCUACCAAUGCUAUCGAUAGUCAAUUUCGAAAUUUAUCCACAAUUGUUUUUUCUUCUAGUUUUAGAUACAGCACACGGUAACAAGGGAUUAGAUUCUGAUAUGUUCCCCAAACACCGGCGAAUAAUCAAAAUAGACUUAACCUAGUCGAUGGUUUCCCCAAAUGAAAUCGAAUGAUUUCCGGUAUUAAUGAAAAAUCAAUUUUCCCUGAAUGAAAUACGAGGGAAAGUGUCUACACACAACACCUUCCCCCUUCUUUCUACCCCAUAAUUUCCAUAUAAAUUCCGCUAUCUUCAUAUUUCCGCGUCAUGAUGAGAAAAUUGCAGGAAUGUACUUCAGCACGAAAGUCCCUCUCUCCCUGGCAAACGAGUUUAACUCUCGGAAGAGGGAAGCAGAAAAUAUUCAAGCAGGGACUUCAAGUUACUCCCCAUAAGGCGCAGGUGAUACAGCUGCUCAAAAGCGUGUCCGAGUCCCUGGAUUAAAAUCAUAGGAGGGGCCCUCCGGUCCCCCCCCCCCCAGCUCCGCGGAAUUCCUCAGGCGUCUUCGGCCUUGGUAUGGCUGAGGUGGGACGGAAAAUGUGACCCAGUUUAACCGGACACUCCCCAAAGGUGGAGACAGGUCGACGCCGUAGACUCUUUCAUGCAACUUCCUCGUCCCUUGAAGAUGCGAUGGGACAGCUGUGCAUCGCUUCCCCCUGUCCGCUGGCGCUUAUGGAUCCACCCCUUGAUGGAACAAAAAUGAAGGUGAAAAUUCCCUGCGGAUUAAGAUUAAAGUUCUGUGGAAUUAGGCC